UACGGAGGGCGCAAGCGUUGUUCGGAAUUACUGGGCGUAAAGAGCGUGUAGGCGGUUCGGAAAGUCGGAUGUGAAAUCCCCGGGCUCAACUCGGGAACUGCAUCCGAAACUUCCGAACUAGAGUCCCGGAGAGGAAGGCAGAAUUCCCAGUGUAGGGGUGAAAUCCGUAGAUACUGGGAGGAAUACCAGAGGCGAAGGCGGCCUUCUGGACGGUGACUGACGCUGAGACGCGAAAGCGUGGGGAGCAAACAGG
rnacentral:misc_RNA from 1 species